GGGUAUGUAGCUCUGAGGUAGAGCUCUUGCUUAGCAUGCAAAAGGCCCUGGGUUCAAUUCCCAGCACUA
rnacentral:tRNA from 1 species